UUAGAGGAAGUAAAAGUCGUAACAAGGUCUCCGUAGGUGAACCUGCGGAGGGAUCAUUAUAGAGUUCUUGCCCUAUAGGGUAGCUCUCCCAUCCUAUGUUAACAUACCUUUGUUGCUUUGGCAAGCCUGAUAGGCGCAGGUCUAGCCACUGGCGUCAGCCGGUGAGAGCUUGCCAGAGGACCCUCAAACUCUGAAUGUUAGUGUCGUCUCAGUACUAUAUAAUAGUUAAAACUUUCAACAACGGAUCUCUUGGUUCUGGCAUCGAUGAAGAACGCAGCGAAAUGCGAUAAGUAAUGUGAAUUGCAGAAUUCAGUGAAUCAUCAAAUCUUUGAACGCACAUUGCGCUCCUUGGUAUUCCAAGGAGCAUACCUGUUCGAGCGUCAUUACAACCCUCAAGCUCUGCUUGGUAUUGGGCAUCAUCGGUGACGGUGUGCCUAAAAGUCAGUGGCGGUGCUGCCUAGCUCCAAGCGUAGUAGACUUCUCGCUAUGGAUGCCUGGGAGACGCUUGUCAUAGCCUCUAAA
rnacentral:rRNA from 1 species